GGAGAGAUGGCCGAGUGGUUCAGGGCGUAGCAUUGGAAUUAUGUAGGCUAUUGUUUCACAGGGUUCGAAUCCCUCUCUUUCCA